rnacentral:rRNA from 1 species
CGGAGGGUGCAAGCGUUAUCCGGAUUCACUGGGUUUAAAGGGUGCGUAGGUGGGCUAAGUAAGUCAGUGGUGAAAAUCUCCGGGCUUAACCCGGAAACUGUCCAUUGAUACUAUUUGUCUUGAAUACUGUGGAGGUCAGCGGAAUAUGUCAUGUAGCGGUGAAAUGCGUUAGAUAUGACAUAGAACACCAAUUGCGAAGGCAGCUGGCUACACAAAUAUUGACACUGACGGCACGAAAGCGUGGGGAUCAAACAGGAUUAGAUACCCUGGUAGUCCACGCCCUAAACUAUGGAUACUCGACAUUUGCGAUAAACUGCAAGUGUCUGAGCGAAAGCAUUAAGUAUCCCACCUGGGAAGUACGAUCGCAAGAUUG